rnacentral:rRNA from 1 species
UACGAAGGGGGCUAGCGUUGCUCGGAAUCACUGGGCGUAAAGGGUGCGUAGGCGGGUCUUUAAGUCAGGGGUGAAAUCCUGGAGCUCAACUCCAGAACUGCCUUUGAUACUGAAGAUCUUGAGUUCGGGAGAGGUGAGUGGAACUGCGAGUGUAGAGGUGAAAAUUCGUAGAUAUUCGCAAGAACACCAGUGGCGAAGGCG